UACGUAGGGUGCGAGCGUUGUCCGGAAUUAUUGGGCGUAAAGGGCCCGUAGGCGGUUUGUCGCGUCGGGAGUGAAAACCUUGGGCUUAACUCAGGGCUUGCUUUCGAUACGGGCAGACUAGAGGUAUGCAGGGGAGAACGGAAUUCCUGGUGUAGCGGUGAAAUGCGCAGAUAUCAGGAGGAACACCGGUGGCGAAGGCGGUUCUCUGGGCAUGAUCUGACGCUGAGGAGCGAAAGUGUGGGGAGCGAACAGG
rnacentral:rRNA from 1 species